UAUUGGACAAUGGGCGAAAGCCUGAUCCAGCCAUGCCGCGUGAGUGAUGAAGGCCCUAGGGUUGUAAAGCUCUUUCGGCGGGGAAGAUAAUGACGGUACCCGCAGAAGAAGCCCCGGCAAACUUCGUGCCAGCAGCCGCGGUAAUACGAAGGGGGCUAGCGUUGCUCGGAAUUACUGGGCGUAAAGCGCACGUAGGCGGAUUGCUAAGUCGGGGGUGAAAUCCCGGAGCUCAACUCCGGAACUGCCUUCGAUACUGGCAAUCUCGAGUCCGGGAGAGGUGAGUGGAACUCCGAGUGUAGAGGUGAAAUUCGUAGAUAUUCGGAAGAACACCAGUGGCGAAGGCGGCUCACUGGCCCGGUACUGACGCUGAGGUGCGAAAGCGUGGGGAGCAAACAGG
rnacentral:rRNA from 1 species